rnacentral:rRNA from 1 species
UAGGGAAUCUUCCACAAUGGACGAAAGUCUGAUGGAGCAACGCCGCGUGAGUGAAGAAGGGUUUACGGCUCGUAAAACUCUGUUGUUAAAGAAGAACAUAUCUGAGAGUAACUGUUCAGGUAUUGACGGUAUUUAACCAGAAAGCCACGGCUAACUACGUGCCAC